GCCUUCACACACGCACUGCAAAUUCUCGAAAAUCUUCUGCAGAUUAAAAUAUUUGAAGACAUCAAAACUUUAGAAGAUUCAGCGAGUAGCUGAAGGCCGAUUUUCUGCCUUCACACACACAAUGACCGAAAAUCCUUGAAAACCUUUAACAAGUAGGUACUUGAAGACACCAAAAUGUAUUUCGAAAUAUUUUGCUACUAGCUGAAAGCCGAUUUUUUUGGCUUCACAUACACACGCAGAAAAUUCUGCAAAAUCUUCAGCAGAUUAGAGGAUUUGAAGACACCAAAACUUUGGAAUAUUUUGCUAUUAUCAAAAGGCCGACUUUCUACCUUCAGACACAGAAAAUUCUCGAAAAUCUUCUGAAGAUUAAAAUAUUUGAAGGCGCGAAAACUUUGGCAGCUUUGGCUACUAGCUGAAUGAGGAUUGACUGACUUCACACGCACAAAAAGAGGACCUUGAAAAAUAUUCUAAAUUAUAGCUAAAUACCGUUUUUUGCCUUCACACACACACACACACAGAAAAUUCUGGAUAAUCUUCAGCAGACAAACAUAUUUGAAGACACCAAAACUCUGGAAUAUUUCCCUACCAGCGAAAGACCAACUUUCUGCCUUCACACACAAGAGACACGAAAAUUAUCGGAAAUCUUAAACAGAUGAAAGUGUUUGAAAACAAGUUAAAGCAAACAGUUGAAUUCAAUUAAAAAAACUUUCUGAAUUUGUGGAUGGACCUACAUACUACACGAAACAAAUUAAAUGGAAUGAACGGUAGAAAGCAAUUAUGUAGAUACUAAAUUUCUUGCAAUCAUGGAUGACAUCAAUUAAGUGUUGACGCGGCUGCAGGAUGCCCUGCGACAUUGACCGUGACGUUCAAGCUGGCAAGAUCCGCUAUAAAAGCGAGCAGCACACGAAAGUUCCAUCAGUCGAACACAUAACGAGGCAAACGCGAUAUUGUGCGAUCGAAAAUUCAGACAAAAUGUACACAAAUCCCUUCAGUCGUACCCACAGCUCCAUUCGUCAAGUGAUCGACAAGUUCCUACACAUCAACCAGGACCAGAAGAGCCAGGGAAUCCAGAGGAACACUUCUUCUAAUUCCGUCAGUUCUUCGUCCAGCAGCUGCAGCGGCAAGCAUAAGAACUUGAAAACCAGUGCUCGAUUAGUUUUUUCGAUUAAAUGAGCAGCAGGCCACUUUCUUGGAGUACCAGUGAAAAAGCUUCGAUAUUCUGAAGCUUUUCCAAGCGGCGUUCAAAGAUGAGUUUGAAGAAAACGAUCUACUUCCCAGGCGUUUUCCAGUCGGACAACUAGCAUUUAUUACAAGAGAGUUAGUUUAUAUUAGGAACGCAGCAGCCAUAAUAAAGUUGAUUAAAAUUUGCUAA